rnacentral:rRNA from 1 species
UACGGAGGGGACUAGCGUUGUUCGGAAUUACUGGGCGUAAAGAGCGCGCAGGCGGUCGUUCAAGUCGCGUGUGAAAGCCCCCGGCUCAACUGGGGAGGGUCACGCGAUACUGAUCGACUCGAAGGCAGGAGAGGGUAGUGGAAUUCCCGGUGUAGUGGUGAAAUGCGUAGAUAUCGGGAGGAACACCAGUGGCGAAGGCGACUACCUGGCCUGUUCUUGACGCUGAGGCGCGAAAGCUAGGGGAGCAAACGGGG